UACGUAGGAGACGAGCGUUGUCCGGAGUUACUGGGCGUAAAGGGUGCGCAGGUGGCGGCGCGCGUGGGGGGUGAAAUCGCCCGGCUUAACUGGGCGGGGGCCUUCCAGACGGCGUGGCUUGAGCAGCGGAGGGGGACGUGGAAUUCCGGGUGGAGCGGUGAAAUGCGUAGAGAUCCGGAGGAACACCGGCGGCGCAGGCCGCGUCCUGGCCGCUUGCUGACACUGAGGCACGAAAGCUGGGGGAGCAAACAGG
rnacentral:rRNA from 1 species